rnacentral:rRNA from 1 species
UACACACCGCCCGUCACGCCAUGGAAGCUGGGGGGGGCCUGAAGCCGGUGGGCUAACCGCAAGGAGGCAGCCGUCAAAGGUCAAUUCAGUGACUGGGGCG